GAUUAACGCUGGCGGCGUGCAUAACACAUUCAAGUCGAACGGUGACGGGGCUUCGGCCCCUGAUCAGUGGCGGACGGGUGAGUAACGCGUGAGCAACCUGCCCUUGUGUGGGGGAUAACGUUUGGAAACGGACGCUAAUACCGCGUAACCCAAUAGUACGGCAUCGUACAGUUGGCAAAGAUUUAUUGCACAAGGAUGGGCUCGCGUCUGAUUAGGUAGUUGGUGGGGUAACGGCCUACCAAGCCCGCGAUCAGUAGCCGGACUGAGAGGUUGAACGGCCACAGUGGAACUGAGAUACGGUCCAGACUCCUACGGGAGGCAGCAGUGGGGAAUAUUGGGCAAUGGGGGAAACCCUGACCCAGCGACGCCGCGUGAGGGAAGAAGGUCUUCGGAUUGUAAACCUUAAACAACAGGGACGAAACAAAUGACGGUACCUGUUAGGAAGCCACGGCUAACUACGUGCCAGCCGCCGCCGUAAUAC
rnacentral:rRNA from 1 species